AUUACUUCACUUAAAAGACAGAUGCCGCCGCUGCGAGGCGAAGGAGUAACUUGUCUGGUCUUGCGGUGCACUCACUCCCGUUACGAGAAUGAAAAAAGCCCCAGCUCGACUCGAGACCAAGAUUCCUUACAACUCGCACCAAUAGCGGCACUGAACGGCCGGAGAUUGAUUGAAAAAGCAGCCCAGCCAGCCCGCCCCUUUAGUGAUUGUGAUCAAGAGCACACACUGGACCUGACCCACUAAUCAUCAUCUCAUCUGACGCGAAGCAAAAAGAAGGGGGAACCCUUCCUUCCCAGCCCAGCCGCCUCUCCCCCCCUAGCCGCCUACCUACUCGUGCUCGUAGCUCGAUCGGGGGUCAAGAGUGUGGUCCGGCGGAAAAAUAGAAGUCGUCCGUAUCAAGUGAUACGUGAAUUGCUCAGUAGUGCUUCGCCACUACCGUAGCUGGCGGAAAUAGCUUAAUGGUAGAGCAUAGCCUUGCCAAGGCUGAGGUUGAGGGUUCAAGUCCCUCCUUCCGCUCUUGGCUUCGUCGUUUAGUGAUAACGAGUGGAGUAGGCAGCGAGUAGAGUGCAUAAGCCCCUUUAAAGAUAGAGGCGAGCAGCAAGCAGCCCCUUGUCUUGUCUUGUAUAGGGUUCCAAACCUUUCUUACUAAUAAUAAAAAAGGGGAAAGCCAAAACCUACUCCUAACAGGUUGCUGGCUUUUCAGCCGUUGCGCGCUAG
rnacentral:tRNA from 1 species